GACCUCAAAUCAGGUAGGACUACCCGUGAACUUGAAA
rnacentral:rRNA from 1 species